rnacentral:rRNA from 1 species
AACGAACGCUGGCGGCAUGCCUAACACAUGCAAGUCGAACGAGACCUUCGGGUCUAGUGGCGCACGGGUGCGUAACGCGUGGGAAUCUACCCUUGGGUUCGGAAUAACAGUUAGAAAUGACUGCUAAUACCGGAUGAUGACGUAAGUCCAAAGAUUUAUCGCCCAAGGAUGAGCCCGCGUAAGAUUAGCUUGUUGGUGGGGUAAUGGCCUACCAAGGCGACGAUAUUUAGCUGGUCUGAGAGGAUGAUUAGCCACACUGGGACUGAGACACGGCCCAGACUCCUACGGGAGGCAGCAGUGGGGAAUAUUGGACAAUGGGCGAAAGCCUGAUCCAGCAAUGCCGCGUGAGUGAUGAAGGCCUUAGGGUUGUAAAGCUCUUUUACCAGGGAUGAUAAUGACAGUACCUGGAGAAUAAGCUCCGGCUAACUCCGUGCCAGCAGCCGCCGUAA